GACGAACGCUGGCGGCGUGCUUAACACAUGCAAGUCGAACGGAAAGGCCCUGCUUUUGUGGGGUGCUCGAGUGGCGAACGGGUGAGUAACACGUGAGUAACCUGCCCUUGACUUUGGGAUAACUUCAGGAAACUGGGGCUAAUACCGGAUAGGAGCUCCUGCUGCAUGGUGGGGGUUGGAAAGUUUCGGCGGUUGGGGAUGGACUCGCGGCUUAUCAGCUCGUUGGUGGGGUAGUGGCUUACCAAGGCUUUGACGGGUAGCCGGCCUGAGAGGGUGACCGGCCACAUUGGGACUGAGAUACGGCCCAGACUCCUACGGGAGGCAGCAGUGGGGAAUAUUGCACAAUGGGCGGAAGCCUGAUGCAGCAACGCCGCGUUCGGGAUGACGGCCUUCGGGUUGUAAACCGCUUUCGCCUGUGACGAAGCGUGAGUGACGGUAAUGGGUAAAGAAGCACCGGCUAACUACGUG
rnacentral:rRNA from 1 species